CUACUACUCCCUCCGUCCGAAAAUACUUGUCAUUGAAAUGGAUGUAUCUAGAUAUAUUUUAGUUCUAGACACAUCCAUUUUGAUGACAAGUAAUUCCGGACGGAGGGAGUAUUAU
rfam:Triticum aestivum genome assembly, contig: Triticum_aestivum_CS42_TGACv1_scaffold_290287_4AL